rnacentral:rRNA from 1 species
CACCGCGGUUAUACGAGAGGCCCAAGUUGACAGAAAUCGGCGUAAAGAGUGGUUAAGUAAAAUUUGCACUAAAGCCGAACGUCCUCAAGGCUGUUAUACGCAUCCGAAGAUAAGAAGUUCAACCACGAAGGUGGCUUUAUUUAGUCUGAGCCCACGAAAGCUACGGCA